UUUUUUGUAUUUCUUAGGAGACAGGACAGGACUAGCUCAGAGUUGAGAACAGAAGUCAGAGAUAUUGAAUGAACCCCGAGCCAGAGUCUCAUGUCUUCCCUUAUCAGCAAACAUCAGACUGCUGUGCAUCCCUCCAGCUUCAUUUGUUGUAGCCAGUGAAGCGGACACACACUCCAGUCUGGAACCCGAUAAGCGGCAUGAACAGAAAGAGGAACGAGUGAGGAAACCACUUCGCUCUUUCUGGAGACCCUGAGCUACGGUCACAGUGUUAUAUGAACCUUGUGAUAUAGGCUUCAGUGUCCUUUAUGUGCGCUUCUCGCGGGAAGGCCCCAGAACAGAGGAGCAUUGUGGGACAGGAGGCCGUCAGGGCAGACGAUUUACAUGUUGGCUGGUGGACGAGGAAUGUUGGCGAGAGCCGAGAAAACCAGUUUUGCACAUCGACCCACAACAAUGACAUUGGAUUAAAAAUGGCAUUUGCAGAAUCCGAGGUGUGUUGAAACCACGCGAGCUGCCAAGCUUCUGAAUUAAUGAUGUACUUCAUUACUAAAAUAUAUUUGUUAUUCUAACUGAAUGCUUGUACAUUCACUAUAUUACAUGUUGAUGGAAAUAACGUGUUUUGAAUGCCAUUUACACUUUCAGGAUAAACACUUUUUUACGCUUCCACUCGUUACUUCACUUUUGCCGGCAGUGAAAUCCAUCCAAGUGUAAAAUGCGAUGAUCGUUUGUCUUUGUUAAAGUCUCAUU